UACGAUGCUGCAUUCAUUAAAACUCGAAAUAUCAACUGGGGAAAAAUCAAAGAAAACGCCAACAGAAGUCGGCACUCGAUAACUAUGAUAAGGUUUCUCAACUCGGCCGUCGUCUUUUUACAUCAUUCCACAAAACAGCAGCCUGCAGAGUAAACUUUCUUUGCGUGCAGUGUCCAGCUAAGAUAAUUCCUUCCACAACCUGCACCAGUAUCAAAUACUACAGGACUGGAAUAGAUAAACAUUCUUUCUCAAACUGAGCUAGAAUGGCAUUUCUUUGGAUUCCUCCCUCUCGUCUGGCUCAUUCCCAUGAGAAAGUCUCAGCCUACACCUCUGACACCAGAAAACGGCCACAGACGAAAUCACCGACAUCAGAGGCUCU